rnacentral:tRNA from 1 species
GCAAUAGCUCAGUUGGUAGAGCAACGCAUUCGUAAUGCGUGAUUCUAGACCCGCCGAUUAUUAGAAAACAAGGUCUUUUCAGCGUUUCGGCUUUUUCUCUGUACCCGCUUUUGUCCCGGACUCGGCCCAUUGCGCCA